rnacentral:rRNA from 1 species
GGAGUUAGCCGGUGCUUCUUCUGUGAGUGAUGUCCUUCCUGCCGGCUAUUAACCCGCAGGCCUUCUUCCUCACUGAAAGUGCUUUACAACCCGAAGGCCUUCUUCACACACGCGGCAUGGCUGGAUCAGGGUUGCCCCCAUUGUCCAAUAUUCCCCACUGCUGCCUCCCGUAGGAGUCUGGGCCGUGUCUCAGUCCCAGUGUGGCUGAUCAUCCUCUCAGACCAGCUACGGAUCGUCGCCUUGGUGAGCCGUUACCUCACCAACCAGCUAAUCCGACAUAGGCUAAUCCGAUAGCGCGAGGCCCGAAGGUCCCCCGCUUUCCCCCGUAGGGCGUAUGCGGUAUUAGCCUGGGUUUCCCCAGGUUAUCCCCCACUACCGGGCAGAUUCCUAUGCAUUACUCACCCGUCCGCCGCUCGCCACCAGGGAGCAAGCUCCCCGUGCUGCCGCUCGACUUGCAUGUGUUAGGCCUGCCGCCAGCGUUCAAUCUGAGCCAGGAUCAAACUCUGA